rfam:Vigna radiata var. radiata cultivar VC1973A chromosome 10, whole genome shotgun sequence
UGCAAAAGUAGACACGGCGUGAUAUUGGUCUGGCUCAUCUUUAUUCAACCAUUAUAUCAUCUUCUUGAGACGAGCCGAAUCAAUAUCACUCUUGUUUGCUUCAUU